rnacentral:lncRNA from 1 species
CAAAUAGCCCUGACCAUGGCCCAGCUAGCAGGAAAGGACACCAAUGUCCCAGGAGGAAGUUGCCACAAGGUUGGAGAGCUCUCCUCAUCGUAGCAACCCCAGGACUCUGGCAAACAGAGGCUCCGUCUCAAAGUGGACUUCGGCAGAGACUGCACCACGGGGAAGAGAAUGACGAGAAUCACCCACUGACUUCAAAAGCUUCCACGCACAUUUAUUCGGCCAAAACAUGUCAUAUGGCCAUGGCUGUGAAAGGCAAUGGAGAAGUACAAGCCCACUGUGUGCCUAGACGGAGAACCAGAACAUGUGGGACCAGUCUUAAUGACUCACGCAGCGUGUGUGACCACGAUGUUGUACUGUGUGCUUCUAACACAGCUAGCUUUCCUGCUGGUAAAGUCGCUGCUCAUUUGUAGGAUGGAAUUCAG